GACAGAGGGUGCGAGCGUUGUUCGGAAUCACUGGGCGUAAAGCGCGCGCAGGCGGCGCGUCAAGUCGGGAGUGAAAUGCCGGGGCUCAACCCCGGACCUGCUUCCGAAACUGGCGUGCUGGAGACUGGUAGAGGCUGGUAGAAUUCCCGGUGUAGCGGUGGAAUGCGUAGAGAUCGGGAAGAAUACCCGUGGCGAAGGCGGCCAGCUGGGCCAGUUCUGACGCUGAGGCGCGAAAGCGUGGGGAGCAAAC
rnacentral:rRNA from 1 species